CGGCGAGUGAAGCGGCAAAAGCUCAAAUUUGAAAUCUGGUACCUUUGGUGCCCGAGUUGUAAUUUGGAGAGGGCAACUUUGGGACCGUUCCUUGUCUAUGUUCCUUGGAACAGGACGUCAUAGAGGGUGAGAAUCCCGUGUGGCGAGGAGUGCGGUUCUAUGUAAAGUGCCUUCGAAGAGUCGAGUUGUUUGGGAAUGCAGCUCUAAGUGGGUGGUAAAUUCCAUCUAAAGCUAAAUAUUGGCGAGAGACCGAUAGCGAACAAGUACAGUGAUGGAAAGAUGAAAAGAACUUUGAAAAGAGAGUGAAAAAGUACGUGAAAUUGUUGAAAGGGAAGGGCAUUUGAUCAGACAUGGUGUUUUGCGCCCUCUGCUCCUUGUGGGUGGGGGAAUCUCGCAGUUCACUGGGCCAGCAUCAGUUUUGGUGGCAGGAUAAAUCCGUAGGAAUGUAACUUGCUUCGGGAAGUAUUAUAGCCUAUGGGAAUACUGCCAGCUGGGACUGAGGACUGCGACGUA
rnacentral:rRNA from 1 species